UAACUCAUCAUUUCAAAUGAAAAUUUUAGGUUAAAUUCUACAAUUGGUUCUUAUCUCUUUUUUUUUCAUUUUAAGCAAUUUUUUUUCUUUUAUGUUAUUUUAACUUUCCUUUUUUUUCUUUAGUUUUCAUUAUAUUCUGUUUCUCCCUCUGUUUUCCUCCAUUCUUCAUUUCUUUUAACGUAGUUUUUUCUAUGUUUUCAAUUUGUUAAAACUAGUCCACAAACUCCUCACUCAAAAAAAUUAAAUUGUUUUUUUUAAGCAUAAGGACUAAUUUUGAGAAACAGAAAACAUAGAAAAACUACGUUAAAAGAAACAAAGGAGAGAGAAAAACAAAAGGAGAAGCAAAAGAGAAUAGAAAAAAAAGUUAAGAACAUAAAAGAAAAAAAUAUGAGACUGAUUGUGUAGAUUAACCAAAAAUUUUGUUUGAAAUGAUGUUUUAAUAAGUCACAUCAGUUUAACGUUAUACCGUUAACGGUAAUUAAUGUUUCAGUGACUAAAAUGUUACAACGUGAUGAUGACUAAAACGUAACAUUUUAAAUAUAGUGACUAAAAUGUGAACAAAAAUAACUACUUUGAUAGUUUAUCAAGAAAAGAAAGCAAAACUUUAUUUUAUUCCACACUUUUUUGUUUUUUUCCAAGUAGUUGUCUUCUUUACAAGUAAACUGUAAAAAACCUACAAGUAAGAAAGUAUAAAAACAAAGUUUCAGACAAAAAUCCCCCCACAACUCCCCCCAACUGUCCUAUAUUAACUACCAAACAUGCUUCAACUUUAGUCUCCCUACUCCUAUAAAAACACCUUCAGAAAACCUUCUCUUUCAAUUCCCCCCUUUCAAAAAUUCAAUUCAAUGGCUUCAUCUCAAAACAACCAUCUUUUCCACUGGAACUACGCCGAGCUCGGUGACCAUGGCUUCCAAAUCCGUGGCCGAACCCUCUUCUUCACUGUCCUCUUCCUCAUCAUCAUCCUUAUUUCCGUCCUUAUCUUCUUUUUCACCCGAUGGGUAUGUAGUUUCUAUCGAGAAGCGUCGUCUCCAACUUCUCACGCGCCGCCUCCGCCACCGAAUCGUGGUCUAGACGUUGCUGCCAUUAAUGCUUUGCCGGUAACUAUGUUCACGGUGGGUGAAGCGCUUGGGAGUGAGUGUUGUAUCUGUCUCGGUGUGUUCGAAGAUGGUGAGAAGGUUAAGGUUUUGCCGGUUUGUAAACAUACGUAUCAUCCACAGUGUGUUGAUAGGUGGCUCAGUGCUGAGUCGAGUUGUCCGCUUUGUAGAAGUUCAGUCCGAGUAGACUCAGAGCAGCUUCAAAUUGUAAUUCAAUAACAAGGACGACGACAGCAACAACAACCAAAAUUAACAAAAAAAAAUAUUUUUAAUAUUUCAAGAAUAUUUUUUUUGUUUAAAUUAUAUUUUGUAAAUGAGUGCUUUGAAAAAGGAUUGCCAAGUGCUCGAUGAAUUUACUCAAUGAAUUAUUUGUUUUUUUUUAAGAAAUAAACAAAUAUGUUGAUUUGUUGAGUGAAGAAAUGAAAUUCAUGGGUUAUUUUCCUCUUAAAUCCUUCUUUACCAUUUGAAUGCCAUUUUCUUUAAUGGAUUGGGCUUGAAAAUGUUGUUUGAAGAAGUAAAAGGCUCAAAUACGAGAAUAUAUAUGUUUUAAUAUACGUUUUAAUAUAUUUAAACCUAUGUCUCAUUUAUUGAUAAUAACGUCAAUGUUAAUCGAACCAAGACUCAAUCGGUACACUAUCCAAUUUUUAAGUAAAAAAAGAAUGUAGAUAGAAAAUAAGCAAAAAUUUAAGCACACAAGUGAGGCAUUUAUACCUACUAAUUGGAUUCUUUGAUGCAUGCUCAUUGCCUACAUGAAUGGUCGUGUUGGGAUCUUAAUAUGCCUAGUGACUAGUUUUUCGAUCCUAGGACGUUUUAUGCUAAGGUUCUUUCUGAUAAGGUAGUCAAUUAUUGAUAAUUUAUUGUAAUGCUAAUUGAAUUACUUUGUACUCAAGUAUCGAGUUUUUCGAUCUGUACUAACUCUUAUUAAAAUAUUGAUGAUCAAUUUUUUAACUUUCUCUAAAAAUUAAGGACUAAAUUUAAUAUUAUAAUCUCUUGUAUUUUUCCAUUUUCAAUCGAAAUGUCUCAUCAAAAAUUAGUUCAUGAAGUACCCAACAAAAUAGGGAGACUACUUGAAGUAGGAGUGUGGUGGAAUUAUGAUUUGGCAAUCUUUAAAAAAUUCAACUUUUUUAAUCUUUGUUUUAGUAAAGUGGUCAAAGCUUUGCCUUUAAUCACACAAAUCAAAUCAAAUAUAUAUUAUAUUAUGAAAAAGACUACCAUACUACAUAAAUCACUAUCACUUUACUACACACACAUACAUCUAUAAUACUUUAACACUUAACCAUUAAGCAAUCCUUGAACCCCAAAGAGAACAAAUAAAACACAUUAAGCUAUACUUUUUAAUACACGUGGAAAAAAUCUUUUUGAUUCAAAAAAGAAGACUUUUUUUGUCCGAGACUUUCAAGUAUCUACUAGGCAUGAUAAAUGACAACACAAUAUUUUUUAUAUGAAUAUUCGAAUAAAUAAUAUGAAUUUCAGAUAAUAAAUUUUUGAAGCAUCUAUAUACAUCCAUUCUAGAUCUACAAUGAAUAUCAACUACAAAUUUUAUCCAAAUUCACAAAAAGCAGAUUAGAUAUUCGAAAUUUACAAUCUAAAUUGGCAUCAUUAUUAUUUAAUAGUCAUAUUGAACUCUAAGCAAAGAUCUCCUAUAGCUAUUUUCUAUCUCCAUAAAAACUCGAAUAUGAUACUUCGCUUAAAAGAUAUUGAAUUCCUUAUUGUCCAACCCACCAAGCAUUAAUAAAAAAUAGACGUAUAUAUAUAUAGAGAGAGAGAGAGCGCAAGGGUUGAUAUCCUAUUCCAUGUUUUAAUUCCCCGAGUAAAAUUAAGAAUUUGAUUCUUAUAUUAUUUCUUUCUUUUUAAAUAAUUAUAGUAGUCGUUUUCAAAUUAUGGUUCAAAUUUUAACCUAAUCUCGAAAUGCUCUAAUUGAGUCCUCAAAAUAUUAAUAUUAUAUUAUUUAUGUUUGUUCUGCCAUCCCGAGCCAUUAGCUUUAAGAUUGAAUGUUAGCUUGGAUCAAAUGUGCAAUAUAUACAAAAAAAUGUAAAUCAAUUUUUAAACAUUUGAACUUGCAUUUCUUGUUAAGUCAAAUCAAAAUGGGUGGAAAAGUUAAUGUUUUUAACUUUGUCGACAUAGCAUAAAUGUGGAUUGUCAUAUAAUUUUAAUGGUUUUUUUUUUAUUUUUAAAAUUAGUUUUUAUAUAUUUGUUGAAUCUUUAAAUUUUAAAAAAAUUAAUUAAAUACUAACGUGCGAUUCACAUGGCAAUCCACGUGUAUACAACGUCAUCAAAGUUAAGAAACAUCAACUUUCCGAUUCAUUUCGAGGUGAUUUAGCACACACAAAAAAAAAACACAAGUUUAAAGGCUAAAAAGACAAAAGAAUUAAAUGUAAGGCUAAAAUGAUUUUAUUUGAUAAAGUUGUAGAGUCAAAUAAAUCAUUAUGCCUUAAAAAAUAAUCCUAAAUUUUAACGACACAAAUUUUUUUAACACGUCAAAUCUAAAUUGUUUUCUCUUUUAUUAAAUUUAAUUUGUUAAUACAAUAGGUAUAUAUGUGUUUAAAUUUGAUCUAUGCAUUUUAAAUAUUCUCACGUUACCGAACUUUAAUUUAACACUCGUGUUAGAUUGAUGGAAGUAACUAAUUUAAAAUUUAGGCCACAUAAGGCUUUACAUGAAAUUAACCUUUAAAUAAAUAAAACCUAAUAUACUAUCAAAAAUUAAAAGAAUGUCAUAAUUCAUUUUUGGAAGAAUGAUCAAUUUAGUCUUCAAUGUUUAUAUUUUUAUUGUCUUAGCCCUUAUUGUUUUUUGAGUAAGAUUUGGUUAUUAACAUUUCAAAAAGAGUUAAAUUACUUUACUUUUACAAAAAUGUUGACUAAAACAUUACCUUAUUUUACGAUUCUGGCGUGACAACCCACGUGGCAGUCCAUGCGUACUUUGUGUUGACAUGAUACUAUUUGUCUUAUAUGUUAUAUCAACAAAUAAUUUAAAUAGGUAAAACUUUUCAAGAAAUAAAAAAAUAGGUAAAAACAUCUCUCUAGUCCCUUUAAAAUUUUGUUUGGAAUAAUUACAAAUUUAGCUAUUAUAAUUUACAAAUUCUAUCAACUUGGUCAUGAUUUAACAUUUUUUUCCUACAAUGUUUUUAUAAAUGUGUAAAUGUUGAGACUAAAUUUGUUAUUAUAUCAAUCAAAAUUAUAUACAGUUGAUGAAAGACACCAGCAUCAUGAUUAAUCGUCCUUGAUUGCUCGCUUUCAAAAUUAAAAUGGAUUAAACUCAUUCAAUUUUGAGAGGGACUAAUCUGCACAAAUUCGAAAUUGAUAAGAUUUGGAGAGUUCUUUUUACCUAAAAAUUAUAAAUGGGUCAUAAAAAAAAUGAAGUACGUGCGGAUUGCCUUGAGGGCUAUCGUGUUUAAAAAUUUAAUGUUUUAGUUAUUAUUUUUGUUAAAAAAAUCAAUUUGACUCAUUUUUUAGAAGUUCAUAAAAAUCCAUCUCUUUUUGAAAGGUCGAUGACUAAAUUUAAUUUUAAAAAAAGAGAGAAUAAGAGCUAAAUUGAUAAAAAAAAAUAUAAACAUUAAAGAGUAAAUUUAUUAUUAUACUUUUUUGAAAAAAUAAAAAUAAAUGAAAUUGGGCCAAAAUGGGCCUAAGUUAGCUUCACCCAAUAUAUAUAUAAUAACAUUACUAAGGCCUUUCGAACUGGUUGAAGGCCUUUUGGCUUUAGGGUUUUACGCUUCUAUAUAUAAACCUAAACGCCAACUUUUCCUUCAUUUCGCCGCAGACCCCAUUGGACAACAACAAACCAAAGGUUAACCAUGAGAGCUAAGGUGCAAAAAGAAACCAUCACCAUUGUUUUAUUUUAUUUUAACUUUUUAAUUUAGAUAUUGAUAUGGGUUUAUUAUUUUUGUUUCAUUUCAGUGGAAGAAGAAGCGUAUGAGAAGGUUGAAGAGGAAGAGGAGAAAGAUGAGGCAAAGAUCUAAGUGAUACAGUCUUUGUUGUUCUUCAUGGAUAGUUAUUUGAUGGGUACUUUUUUUUUGAAGGAUUUAAAGCUGUUGUUUUCAUUUUCAUGGCUUAGGGUUUUUGUUCUUGUAUUUUUGUUGAACCAUUUUCAUCUACUUGAUAAAUGUUAUUUGAGUUUUUAAGGAUUGAAAUGAUUUGAAUUGGAAAAUGAGAUUGUUUCUUGCUAUCUUUAUGGAAUAAUUAGCACAAAAUAUUUUAGGAUAUUGAAAUGUAUAGAACUGUUGAACUGGAUGGGUUUCACUUAGGGUCGGGUGGUUUUCUGAUUCGGGACAUUUCGGGUUUUUGGUCGGUUUGGUUUGUAUUAGAGUUCUGGGUUUUCUAGUUUAGGGCUUAUUUAGGGUUAGACUAUUACUGUUUUCUCCGUUGGGUCAUUAUAGGUUUUGGUCAUUUAGGGUUCUUUGUUUUAGGUUUGGGUCGAGUUCAAUUUGUGAGUUCUUUGUUGUUAAAUAGAGUUGGGUCUUGGGUUAGGAGUGGUUUGGGUCCAUUUCGAGUUUGAGUUUGCGUAGAUUCAAGUUGUGAAUUCCUCCGUGACCAGAUAGAGUUGGAUCGAAAUUUUGGUAGGAUUGAUUAAAUUUGAUUUGUGUUUAGAUUGAUAGGGUUGUGUUUCCAUGUUCGGAUCAUUGAAAGGUUUAGAAAUUUUUUAUCAAUGCAUAUUGUUCAAUGCUCAAGUGUAUUGCAAUCUUUGUGCAAUAAUUGGCCAAGUAUUUUUAGGAUGUGAAAUGUGUAGAACGAUGGAAUUGGACUGUUGCACUAAGUGUCGUGUCGUUUUGGUCGGGUCGAACAUUUCGGGUUUUGGAUUGCUUGAUCCAUAUUGUGUCUUGAGAUUUUUGAGUUUAGGAUUAUUUAGGUUAGGUGAUUAGGGUUUUUAGGAUGUGUCAUUGCAAGAUCGUUUCAGAUUCUUUGUUGUUUUAGGUUCGGGUCAAUUUGGAGAUUGAUUUGUAUUCAACAAUGUUAAGCAUGAAUAUUCGAGUUUGAAGUUUGAACAUGAAAAUUGCUUGAAAUUAUUGGAGCAAUAAACCCAGCGAAGAUGAUAGCCUAUUUAUAACCUUGAAUGGGUAAAAGUUAGACUUGCUGGGUUAAUUGUCUAUGCUUGAACUUCUAUUUUAAAAAAAAUGAGAAUUGAAAAAUGGGAUCGGGUAAAACUUAAGGUUCGUUUUUUAUAUGAUCUAAGCUUUGAGCAAUAAUUUAUUUUACUUGAGCUUGGUUCGGUCUAGCUUGAAUAUUUUAUGUUAUAAAAAAUAAUUAUAAUAAUUAUAUAUAAAUAUAUUUAUAUUUAUAUUAAAUCAUUAAAUUCAUUAUCUAAAGCUUAAAUUAAUAACUUACUAAACUAAAUAACUCAAUUUAAAAUUUAUAAAUUAUAUUUAAUACAAUAAAAUAUUUAUUAUAUUUAUGUUAUGUUUUUUAAUUUAUAUAUAUUUUUAAUAUGUUUACAUUUUUUAUAUUUUAGUGAUAUUUAGUGCAUUUAAUAUAUUAUAUAUUUAAAAAAAUAUUCUUAAAUUUAGAAAUUAAAUAUGUGUGGAGAGGGUCGGGUUGGGGUUUACUUUUUUAAAAUUCGGUUUAGUUUGGGUAAAAAGACUUAGGGUGAGUUUGGAUGGACGAUUGGGUACGGUGCAGUGCGUUUAGUUUACUUUUUGUCUCACGUUACAGUAUCGUUACAGUAUCUAAUCUCACCGCCACUGUUAUUUUUACACUAACUGCAAGUAAGCGCACUGCCCAUCUAAAUUCACCUUUAAUCAAUUUUUUAGAUUAGGCAUGAAAUUAAUAUCUUGCAUAGACUCGGUCUGUGAAUACUUCCAGCAAAAAUAUGGUGGAGAAAUAAUUACUUAGUUUGAUGGGCUUAGUAGUUGAUAAUGGAUAAAUAUUUUUGAUAAUUAUGGUACAAAUAAUGCAUAUCUAAGUUUUUUGAGUGUAUCAAAGUCUAUGUAAAAAUUUAAAAUAUGAAAUGAAUUUAUCAGUCAAUUUUUGAUUGCUUCACGUCACGACUAAUUUAUAUGAACUAAGGAAAAUACAAAGGCAAAGCAUCAAUCAAUCAAAAAAGCAAAAAUGGAGUAAUUGAAUGUGGAUGACUUAGAAUUGAUUUUGGUUUGAGUCAAUUUGAAUGGGGUAAAUUUUAGGGUUUAGUUCUUGGUUUGAGGUCUGGUUUUUUUGAUUGGAUCAUUUUGUACUCAUGUCAUUCAAGCUUGAAUUGUUUUGUUUCUAGGCGGUUUUGGGUUUGGGUUGGAUGGUUUCGAGUUGGUGACAUUUUUAUCUUUAAAUAAUUUAUUUAAUUCAGAUCAAGUUUGGUUUUCGAAAUCAAGUCAUAAUUGAGCAAGAAACCAAUAAGAAUUUGCAUUGAUGGUGUAUAUAUAUUGGGUUUUGGAUUUUUUUUUCAAGUUUGGGGUUUUAGAUUUUCAGAUUUUGGGUUUGAAUAAAGUUAUUAUUUAUUUGUAAGCCCUCCAUUAUUUUUUAUUUUACUAAAUACAAAGCGAUCUGUUUUUGCUCACGGACAAAAACACCUACACUGACAAUGUAUUUAAUAUUCACCUUGUUUAUGACGGAGUAAACUAAGAAGACAAGAACAACCUUUGUCUCUUACUCCUUAUCCGAUAAUUCGAUUUCGAUUCAUCCGAUGAUAAAGCAUUUAUCUUGUUCACAACUACAUUCAAAGAUUGUUUUAGAUUGCUUGAAACGCCUUCUCUAUUAUCACUCUCAUUGCAAAGGAUCAAAUUGCUUUUGGUUCUUCCACCAACACUUGAAAUUUCAGCUUCCACAAUGCUAAGCCUUAGCCCUUUGAGGACUCGGAUGAGUUCCGAAAACACUUCCGGCCGAUCAUCGCAACAAAUCGAAACCUUGAUGAAUGUCUUGUCUUCGGGAACAUUGUAAUCGACAGAUACUUCAUCGGUUUCGGACGGUAUAGCAAAAGCUUUGCCGAUUUCUGUUGCUUUUCGUUUUAGAUCCUUGACUUGCUCUAUUGCACUUCCUAAUAAGGCUGCCUUGUCCAUCUGAACAAUAAAGGGUCAAAUUAUGGUUUUGGUCCUACUAUACAUAAAUCUUGUAUUUAAUCCUUAAUACUUUAAUUUCACAUAGUUUGACCACACUUUACUUUUAUAAUUUCAUUGGUUAAUUGGUUAGUCCAAUUAAUUAAGACUUUCAAAUUUUCUAGUCAAAUGUUGACAUGGAUUUUUUUAAUAAAAAAAGUGAUAAAAAUAUUUAGUCCUUAAAUUUAGUAAUAUCUUUCAAUUUGAUCCCUAUAUUUUUUUUUUGUUCAAGCUAGUCCAAGAACUUUAGAACUUUUCCCAUGUUGGUCUCUGAACUUAGAUUACAUUAAGGUAAUAUGACGUGGCACUUUGGGGUUUUGCCAUAACAAUAUCUAGAAAUUUUAAUAUAUAUAAUCUAAAAAUACCAAAAAAUUUUAAAAAACUUUUUUAAAAAAAUCAGGUGAUAAUGUGGCACAAUUUUAGAGCACCAUGUCAUCAUACCUUAAUGAGAUCCAAGUUCAAGGACUACAUUGAGAAAAGCUAUCAAAUUCCAGAUCUAGCGUGGACCAAAAAAAUUUCAAAAAUCAAGCUGGAAAAAAUUGUCAAGUUCAAAGAUUAAAUAAAAAAGCCGUUCCAACACACAAAAAAGAGUCCAUGUUAACAUGAUAAGUAAGGAUUCUUUUUAAAAAAAAAUUAAUCAAGGAUUAUUUAGUAACUAGCAGUAUUAUAAAAAUAGAGGACAAAAUUAUGUCAAAUUAAAUAUAGGGACUAAAUUAAAAAAUUGAGCAUAAUGAAGGGACCAAACUCAAAAUUUAACCACCAAUAAAGAAUUGAUCCGAAUAUCAUUGACAAUGUAAAAGAAGGCAACUUUGGAGCAAACUACACACCUUGUUAGACUUGGGAAUCAAUUUCCUCAAAGCUGUAAGCUGCGAGUUAAUCCGAUCCCUCCGACGCUUCUCGGCUUCACUAUGGCUCUUGGAAGCCACCGUAGCUUUAUCAGGUAUCUCUGGCGAAGUAAACCCGUGGCAACGAACAGAGCUAGAAGCUGAGAAAAGAGGUUCCAUUGGCCAUGGAACUAUGAAAGGAGGCUCAUUGCUUAUAGCAGCAGCAUUGCAACCAUCACAAUUUGGAGGUUCAAGCAAGCUAAAAGGGUAACAAUUCUCCAUUUUCAGCUAAUAAUAUAAGAAACCAACAAUACCAAAAUGCUCAUCUUGGCCUUCUUAUGGAGAUGAGAAAGACUGUUGGUAGAGCUAAUAAUGUGUGGUGAUUGGUGUGAUAUUUUUGAACUUUUGAUUGGUCAAAUGAAAAUAAUGUGUUGCCCAUUAUUCGGUUGUCAUUUCAAUAAGGAUAUCAAUUUGGAUUUAACCUUUUUCUUUCUCUUUUUUUAGUUCACAUUAAAUUAAGAGUAAAGUCUGGGUCGAAUAGUUAAAUAUGUAAAUAUGUUUUGCUUUUUUUGGGGAGUGGGAUAAAUUAUAUCGGUGUUACUCAAUUAUUAAUAAAUUUCUUUUAAUUAUCUAAUUAUGGAAAGAUACAAAAUAACCACCCAAAAAUAUUUUACUAAUAGUUGUGUGACUACUAGUGCUGCUUACCCUGUUUUUUUAUCAACAAGCUAGAAAUCUAGCUUAUGAAACAUCGAACUCUUGAAAGAAUAUUAUGUCAUCAUACCUUAACAGAAUCCAAGUUUAGAGAUCAAAUUUUUUUAAAAAAAUAUCAAAAAAAUCACCAAAUAUAAAGACUACAAAAUUAGAACCAGAGAUCUUACUUAAAAAGUAUCCAAUGUUUUUCCACUCAUCCAACAAAGGUUUGGAGUUUACUUUUUUUUACGUAUUGAUGCCUGAUGGAGUAUUACAGCUUUGGCAAAGGCAUUCAAUACAAUGAGUGUCAAAAAAAAAAAAUGGACAACAAAGAGAAUUGUGCGGAAAAUACAUGUGGAAAAAAAUGAGAGAAUGAUUUUUUUUUAGCCCUCCAAUUUUAUGAAAAAAUCAUUUUAACCCCUCAUUUAAUUUUGUCUUUUUUAGUUUUUAAACUUAUAUUUUUUUUCAAAUCACUCAAAAAUGGAUGGAAAAAUUAAUGUUUGUUAAAUUUGCUGAUGUGGCAUACACGGGGAUUAUCAUGUGGAUAAUAUGUCAGCAUUUAAUUAAUUUUUUUAAAUAUUAAAAAAUUAAAAAUCUUUUAUAUUUUUUAUACCUUUUAAUAAUUUUAAUGAUUUUUUAAAUUUCAAAAAAUUAAUUAAAUGCUGACAUGUCAUCUAUAUAGCAAUCCAUGUGUAUGCCAUGCCAGCAAAGUUAAAAAGACAUUAACUUUUUCAUCCAAUUUGAGGUGAUUUGACAAAAAGCGCAAGUUUAAAGACUAAAAAAUGUGAAAAUUUAAAUUAUAGACUAAAAUGACUCUUUUUAUAAAAUUGGAGGACUAAAUAAGUCAUUAUACAAAAAAAUUAUUGUUCUGAGCUGCUUUUCAACCAUGAAUUCAUUGACAUGUAUUCAAUUAUUUCACUCCACAUUAAUUUCGGGUUCAAAUCAUUUUAAGUUUUGUCAAAUCAAAUCUUUUUAAAUUUAAAUCAUAUCAAAUUCUAUCACUUGCACGAACCAUUUUGAGUUUAUCAUAAACAUAUUUGAAUUAUUAUCUUUUUUUUAUAAUUAAAUCAAAUUUGAGAAUCCCAAAUCCUAUCAUGUUUUACUUUCUUUCUUUUAGUUGAUGCUUAUCUAUGAACUAUUUUAUCUUUUUCUUUUUUUUUCAAAAGAAUGAAAAAGAUGUCAUUGAACCCCACAUUGAAGUGAAAUGCCUCUCUUCAGCUUUCUUAGAUUGGCCAAUAUUUAUGUCUAUACAUUAUUUGUAGUCUAUAAUGUAGUAUUUUUAGCUAAUAUUGUGAGAUAAAUUUGUUAGAUUUUUGAAUUAUUAAUUCUUAUUUCAAACGUAAUUGAAGUGUCUCUAGAUAAGGUUGGGUCGGAAAUUUUAUUAUAAAAUUUUCUUUUUAAUGAAAAAAAAACCCUUAUUUUUUUGUAUUUUCCUAAGUUUUUUUUUUCUCCUCCUACAUUAUUUAUCAAAGUUUUAUUAUUUUUCAAGGAGGAAAAAAAAAUAUAAUUUUGGUGGCUUUGUUUGUCCUCUCUCACUUGAUUCUCUAUCCAAUCAUAGAGUGCAUAUAAGCAAACAAAGUGGGCUUAAAUUACCAUCACCAAUUUAGCCACAAUGUAGGGACCUCUUCAUUCACCAUUCAAAUUGUAAACUCAUUAGAUUGAUAUGAAAUCUCAUGACAUUUGGGUUUGUGUGGUGCCAAUGAUUUCUUUUUCUCCUUUCUUGUUUUACCUCAAAUUAGUUGUGCAAACUAAACAUUGAGUCACUCGAAUCUAAAUGCAAUCUAGUUUCAUAAUUAGAUUUGACUUAAAUAAAAAAAAAUUUUCAAACUCAAAAUGAGUAGAAAUUGUUUGAAAUUGAAAUUUUUAAAUAGGAAAUCUAAGUACUUAUAUCUUAGAAUUGACCCAAAUCUAAAAUGAUUCGGUUCAUAAUGACUUGACUCAAAACUAAUUUAGCCCGCCUCUCUUGAUAUUUGGAUGGGGUGGUGCCAUUGAUUUCUUCUUCUUUUCACUUAAAUUCAUUCUCAUUCAAACUUAGAUAGAAAUUGUACUUAAUUAAUCCAUGUAUAAAUUUGACCCAAUCCAACUUGAUCAUAAAAUGUCAACAAUCGAAUUUACCAACUCAAACAUGAAAAUGAAUCAAACCUAGAUAACCCAAUUAGAAGAUGACCGGAGUUGUAAUCGAGCAUAGUACCAAAAUACUAGCAAGGUUGAGCUCGAUUCUAAUUUAGUACUUAAUAUUUGGCUUGAACUCAAUCGAACAUCAAUUUUUGAGCUCGAGCUCAAUCAAAACUUAUCUAUUUAUUUUUGUACUUAAGCUCAAUUAAGCUAAUUCAUAUCCAAACUUAAGCUCGUUCAUACUUAAGCUCUUUAUAAUAAGAGUAAAAAUUAUAUUUUGAUAAUAUAAAAACAUAUAUUUAAAUGAAAAGCUCAAUUAAGUUUGGCGGUCAUUCAAAUAGAGUAUUAUAGUGCUAAAAUUCACUUCAACUGAUAGCUCAAGCAAUUCAAGCUCAAGUCCGUCUCAAUAAUUACCGAAUCAAAUUCAACCUUGAUUGAGAAAUCCAAAUGACUCAAAUCAAAAACUAACUCGAUGACAAAAUAAUCCAAUCCAAAACCAAUCUAGGACACUCAAGCCUUGUUUAAUAAACCAUUGAAAAAAACCAAAUUAGCUAAAAAUCAAUAUUUUCAGUGAUUUAAUUUAAGCAUUUUGAUAAUCCAAACUAAAAAAGAAAAAAAAUUGACAGAAUACUUCAAUGAAAAAGGGUUGAAAACAACAAGUAAAUAAAGAACUACUCAAUACUCAUCACUUAUGGAAUUUUCUCAAUUAUUUUUAUUCUCUUAGCAUCCUAUAAACAUUUUAUCUUUAAAAUUAUUAUUUAUCAAACAAUCUAAUUACAUUUCUUGCUUAAUUUUAAGUGGCGGAGUAUUUUUUUUAAUCUACAAACAAUAUUGAAAAAUAGACCUCUAUUUCUAAAUUAUUUAUUUUUUAAUAAUUUAUUAUACACCCAUAGAAUAUUUAUAAAUCAUGUCCUUAUUUAGAAGUCUAAAAACUCUACUGUUUAGUUGACUGGUCUACUUCUCCCCCCAAUGGACGUCGGCAAGGAGCACGAUGAAAAUAUGCGAAGACAUAAGUUCAUGCUCCAAAAUGGACUUAGCCGCAAAGUGUUUCGUCCAGCAAUUUAAUGCACGGAAGCCGCCCUCUCAGCUGCUAAACAGUGGUAAAAAUAAUAAACUUAAAAAUUUAAAACUUAGAUUCAUUUGAAAUAAUAACUUCCGUUUUAUUAUUUUAUAAUAUGGUAGCAUAAUGUAUAUAAUACCAUGAUAUCUAUCUAUUAAACAUAUAUUUAAAUCAUUAAUAAAAAUAUAACUGUUUAGUAUAUAUUAGAAAAUUAAAUAGGAUCAAAUCUAAGUAUAUUUGAAUUUGAUAUUUACAAAUAUAAAUAAAUUUCAAAUAUAUAUUUUAAAUUUAGUUGAUUUUAGACAACCAUGUAUGUUGUUGAAAUCAUCCAAACUUGACUCAAUUCAAAUUCGAUAGAAGUACUAAGGAAACCGUUGUAUUAAAAAUAGAUUACAUUUAAAAAUAAGUAAAUUAAUUAAAUUAAAAAUCAAAUUAAUCAUUUCUAUUAAAAAUAAUUUCAUCUAUUUUUACUGUUAAAAACUAAUAGAUAUGCCACAUGUACUUCAUUCUAAGCUUCUAGCAUAUAGAUACAUAUUUUUAAUAGAUAAUACAUAUAUGGACUAAUUUGCAUUUUUUUUUUAGAACAGAAAUAGUACUUUUACUAAUAUCAAAGCAAUUUGCAAGGGAAAAAAAUGACAUGGAAGUGUAUCAUUUCAUAUAUAUACUCAGAUCAAUUCGGAAAUGGAAAGGAAAUAAUAAAAAUACAAAUAUUCAUGAAACCCUUAGACUACCCUUUCUCUAGUCUCUAGUAUAUUAGCAGCCAAAAAAUGCCUCUUUUGCUACCACCAAAAAGGAGAAAAAUAAUGAGGGCAAACUACAAAAUCAUUAUCACAUCCCUCCAAAAAAAAAACACUAAAAUAGCACAUUAUUCCAAAUUGAUAAGAACUACGGUUUUUUCUCCUAAAAAUAACCUUCAAUAAAAAACAAACCAUGCUCUUAAGGCUUAAUAGCUGCCCAUUGGUGGCAUACCAAAAGGUGGCAUCGAAGGCGGCAUUCCCAUUCCUCCCAUGGGUGGUGGUGGUGGAGCAAAACCUCCUCCCAUUCCAGGCAUUGGUGGUGCAGGUAAGGCUAGAGGUAGCAACUGAGCAUACAUGUUCUGCAAUGAACAAAGGCCAUUUAUUAUAAUCCAAGGAAGGGUAAACUGGUAAAGUUGUCGCUUCAAUUUUUCUCGGUAUAAUUUUACCUGUUGUGCAAUCACUUCCUUCUCUUCUUGCUCUUUGGCUUUUACUUCCUUUUGAGCCUCGAUUUUAUCCUUGAUAAGUUCAUCGACUUUGCCGGUAUAUUCGCGGAUAAACUGGAGAAAUACAGGACUCAAAUAAGGUUCCAACACAAUGUGUCCAAAAUAAGAAACAAUUGAAACCAAAUGGGCAUAAAAUGAGAAGUGUGAAUCAAAGCAAUCACCUGCAACAGAUACGGGAAUGCGAAGUCGAUCAUAUUGUGAAUCCAGGCUAGCUCGAGAACAACAUCUGCUCGAAGUAAGUCAUAACAAACAAAGAGGCAUGAUGCAAAGCAUUCCUUCUUGCCCUGUAAAAUGAACAUCGACGAUGAAAUUAUAUCCAAUUCAAACAAGAAGCAACAAUACCGUGACGAUAGAAGAAGAUAAACUUCAUUUUCCAUGUAAUCCGGCACGGUUAACAAGCAGAACAGACCAAACUAACAUAAUAGGUCUACCGGUUGAACAAGAAUGUCUAACACAAUACUUAGGGAUGAGUUUGGGUACCUGUUCAAUAAAGUAAACAAGUAACUCCUCGGCAAGUUCACGUUCACCAGACUGUGACGCUGUUUCCAUUGCAUCUUUGUAAUGGUUGUCUUUCUUUGACAAUGCAAUGGACUGCUUCCAUCUGCCAGCCUUCUUGUAAAUGUAUGCAGCAACUCGCCUCAUCUCCAGCAGCUCAUGUUUCUCGAUCUGCUCAAGCAAUUAGGAAACAAAUCAGAAACCGACCUAACAGCAAACAAAAACACAACUAACAAUACUUCACCUUUUGUGCAAGACCAAUCUGAUCAAAGUUAUCAUGCAAGUCGAUAGAUUCUCUCAAUCUAUCGUAAUCUUCUUCCUCUACAUAAAUCUCAUUCAACGCCUCAUUUACUGCUGACACGUUGUUGCUCUGAACAGCAACCAUGUAAGGCUUCACAAUUCGCAGAUGACCUGCCUGAAAUAACCAACCCAAAAUGCAUUAAAAAAAUGCUUAAGCAAGUCAAUAGUCUUAUAUCAAAAUUAGAUCAUUUUCAUCCAAAUUCAAACCUUUCUCAUGAUAUCAACAACACGAGUGUGGUCCACACGAAGUGCAAGCACGUUCAACAUAUCAUUUAUGAGAUCAGGGUGCUCUUGCAAGUAGAAGUGGACAGCCUUGUAAUAUAGCUCAACACUAGCAACUUUGACUAUAAUGUCUUUGAACUGCAUAUGAUCCCAUGAUUCGGGAGAGUGGUUCAUCACGGUAGUUGCAGCAUUGUCAAACUCGUCGUAUUGAAUGUAUAAAUAGGUAAGUUCCUUCCAGUGCUGCUGUUCAUCACAAGCUCUUAUCAGCUUGGGAAUGUUGAGACGAGUAGAGAACAAUUUAAUGUGCUCCAUAAGCUUCUCGGGUCGGUAUCUGGCAUACAAAACUCCCAGUUCAGUAAAGAUCCCCAUAUGUGCACGUUCCAGUCCUAAACCACUCUCCAUAAGAGAGAUCAACUCAUUGAAGCAUCCUCUGUUCUGAUAGUAUUCGCUAACUUCUUCCAAGUCGUCCACCUAAAAAGUCAACAAACACAACGGUCAAAAUCAUCGUGGACAGUCAUACACACGUAUUACAUACUUUCUUGUUCCAAAAAUUUGUGAUUCAUAUGAAAGUAAACUCACCUGUAUGAUGAUGUUAAGACCACAUAUCUGUGCCAAUCGGAAUUCUUCUGCAUCAACACAAGCAAAGCAAACCUCCUUCCAUGUCUUUGCACUGUUUGCUUUUCGUGCUGCAUCAACAGCACCUUGGAAUUGUUUAAGUCUUACCAGUGUAACAGCCAAUUUGGCCCAGUUAGAUAUAAACGCAAAUAUUAUUUUUGCAGCUUCGUAUAGGGCUUCAUCGAACAAGCGGUCACCAACAUUUUGAAGAUUAGCAACAUUUGGUAUGAGAAUGAAUUCUUCAAUUUCGCCGAGUCUAUCAAUCUUUGCAUAGGCAUAAAUAAGUUCACCAUCCACCUUGGGCUCUUUGACCUUCUGCCUAACCAUCAGAAGAUACCUCACCAAAUCAGGGUAGACAUCAGCAUCCUCGGAAGCUCGGAUAACAUCAAGGAACUGGGUAGCAUCAUCGGCGCGAAUAAAAGAUUCAAUGGCAUCGCUCACCAGCCCCUCCCUCAGUUGUGCCUUUGCAACCUGACUCCAAACAGCAUCUUCUUCAACUCGGAAUGCGAAUUCCACAGCCCGAUCAAUGCUUCUAAUAUUGUCCAAUAAAACAUUGACGGCCUGCACGUUUAAGUUGAACUUUUUGAAGAUCGCAAAAGCUUCUUCAUACAGUUGGGCUUCAACGGCCACUUCUCCAACAGCAGGUCCGUCAAAAUUAUCCAACCUAGUGAUAUAAUCCAUAACCCUAGAUGGAUCCGCCUUAAUAGCCGUCAAAAUAAGAAGAUUCUGUAGAUUGAAGUUCCCACUGAAUGCAGAGUUUUGGAGUACAAUCUUCUCAAGAAGCUCAAUAAGUUCAUGGGGCAGGUCAGCUGUCAUAAAAGCUUUAACAGCUGCAGAGACUUGUUCGGGACUCUUGCUCUCUGGCAAAGCAGUCGAUACAACCUGAUCUAUCAGCUGCCUUCUAUAUUCAUUUUCGGGAUUUAGAACCUUCUCCCAAAGAUCACCAUCCAUCCUUUCAACAACAUACCUGUGAUCAAAGGGUGAUGGACAAUUAAGCCACUUUAAAAACAUAGGAUGCAUUAUCAACCUAUCAGAAAUAAACUAAAUAAUUACAUACCUAGCCUGCAAUUUAAACAAGGAGUUCUUAUUUGUGACGUUUAUAAGUUCAUCGUCACAUUGUCCUCUUCGGUAUGCUACAACAGCCAGGGUGGGAUCACGCUUCUCACAGUACUUACCAACAACCCGAGAAUCAUAGUAAGGGUUGGUAGUGAGGAAGUGCUCUGGAUUGUUAUUGCUGUCAAUGAUUAUUUUACCCAGAGCAUUGUGGACAUGCACAUCUUGGCUUCCCUCACUCACAAGAUGCUCCAAGAACUGUGUUAGUAAACGAAGUCGAUUUCUGGAAAUCACAUGCCGAAAAAUUAGAAUCACAGAGUAAUACAGGUGGCAACAAGGACAAGAAAUGCAGAAAAAAAUUCACCUCUUCUCACAUUCCUCCACAAGAGGCUCAACAGGAAGCAAAGAACGGACAGAGAGAAUGAGACCCUUUAUAAAGUCUUCAGGACAUUCAUCAUCUAGCAACUGGCCCACUACCAAAGGAGCAUUCCCUGGGUUCACCUAUCAAAAGAAGCAAACAAGUUCUCAAUUACUUGAGCUCAAAUUGAAGUCAUAUAGUAUGCCAGUAAAUAGAUAAAUAGGUAGAAAUAUCACAAACCUUCUGAACAUAACCUUCAAUGUAACGGAGCAUAUUAUUUGUGUAGAGGUAGUGAGUGAGAUCCGGAACAAACCCAAAUCGAUCACAAACAUUAAUCAAUGGCCUAGCAUCCGGAAGUUUGGCCUCCAUCAAGAAGUUCUUUGUCUUUUCGGCAUCAUAAAAGUUCGAUUCCCUGGUCACGCGCUCAACCUCCUUUAUUUGUCCAGUUUUAGCAGCUGCCUCAAUGUACUUAAAGUGUAUAUCAGGGUCCUCACUGUCCCAUAAUCGGAAAUAAACAUCUUAGUAAGCUUAGAAAUGACUAUGCUCUAAGCAAUCAAGCGAAGGAAACCAAAUUUGCUAAAUAACUUACCUUGAGCUCAAAUAUGAGCCCAGGAAAAAGUACAAUCCUUCAUACGACUUAAACUGCUCAAAAAUUUUUAUGCAAGAAUCAACACCCAACUGUUCACAAUACUCUUUCGCAACCUGCACAGACACAGAACUUAGCCUUUGGCAAUCUCUAAAAGAAUUAGAGUACAAUCAGACAACAUCCCUUACCUGCACAAUUAUUUGAAGGUUGCCUCUAAGAUUAACCAGUAGGAGGUCCUUCAUGCACUCCAAAGCCCAUUCACGUGAAAGAGUACCAAAAAACUCAACAAGUGACUGUAAACAGAAGUCUGGUUAAAAACAUGUCACAAGCUUCUAUAGUCUCUAAGUUUAUCAAGAGAUAAAGAUAGUGGACAUCAUUGUACCUGUGGCUCAAUAGCAUGUGUAUUCACAAUGACACGUUUAAUAUCUGGCAACUCAGAGUAAUGCUGCAGAAAAGGCAUUACAUUUAAUCAAUGACAUCAAUAUACUGUUAAAGCAGUGUAGAAAAUCAGACAUAAUGCAACAAGUACUAGUUUUAACAAGAUACCUGCAGAGCUCGAACAUACAGACCAGCUUUCUCACAAAGCUGAGCAAUUCGGGGACGAUCAUAGUGACUGAACAUUCCAUUUGCUAAAAUGGCAUCAGCAACAUUUGGAAAAGUUACUAGAUUGAUUUCCAAGACCUGUAGAGAAAAGAUUGUUAUUAAACUAAGUACAUUAUUUCAAGAAAGAAGGAAAAUAUAAAACAAAAUUAGACUAGCUUAACAAGCAGCAUUCAAAGAAAUAACCUUUGUUUGGAGAAAAGCAUGCUCUGGUAGAUUUGGUUUCAAAACAUCCAAUAGAAAUGCAGUAGCUUCCCUUAUCAAGUUCCUCUGAAAAUAAAGAAAGAAAUCCAAAGAAAACAAAUAUCAUGUGUUACUCAGGAAAAGAUUUUAAUUUUCACAAACAAUUCUAUAAGCAACAGACCUGAAGGAAAAGAUCAGUAAUGGUGUUGUAAUCAACUGGACAGCCUCCCUCCAUUUGAGACAUCAUCAAUGCAAAAUUAACAGCUCCCUGCAAGUAAAACAAGUGAUAACUCAUCCACCGCCAAAAAGAUUUUUAGAAAAUGAAAAUUACACACAUUCAAUCCAGUCAAAAGGUCCAUAAUACUAACAUCUUUCGGUAGGCAAACAAUAAAAAUGUUUUUCUACUCAGAAAACAGAACAAUCAUAAAAGUUGACUUAAUAGACUUUGAUAAGGAGAUUUAGCACAUAUCAAUUGCUCAUAUGAUUUGACAUGCUUCAACACCUCAAACAAUAAAAAGUAGAGAAAACAGAAACGAACCUGUGGAUCUGUACGGAGAAUUGUUUGCAAAAGGAACAAGUAGUCAGGAGUGUACCCAACCUGAGGAAAACAAUUCAGUCAUGAAUAUUUGACGCAUACAAUAACUGAAAUAUAAAGAACAAGCAGGAGAAAUACUUGACCCCACCCCACCCACAAAAAAAAUUAUGCUGUGAAAAAGGAGAUCAGAUAUCAUCACUCCAGAAAAUGCCAAAAAAUAUUGUGGUAAUCACCUGCUUUGAGUAAAUCAAGAUCUUGUCAAACUCCCUACGUUCAGCAAAAGCAGCAACAACUUUUGGAGUUGCCCUUGCUUUAAUAUAUAUUUUCAGUGCAAGAUCAUUAUCCACAGUCUACAACAAAAACAAAGCUGUAAUUAGAAUAAGGCAAAAAAAGUGUCAAAUCAUUUCCAAUUUUCUUGAAGUUUAAAUUCAGAUAAAACUGAAUAAAUUACUGAUAGACUACUAUUCCAGUGGGUAAAAAAAUCAAACCUUCACAAGGUCACCCAAUUCUUCACUGCAUUCCAAUUUAUCUUCAGCCAACCAAUUCUCCAGAAGGUUCUUCUUGUUUUGGUUUACCACAAGCCGAGAUAGUUCCAAUGACUCAAAUGCAUUGAGCUUCCCCCAUGUUAGAAGGAUACUAAAGUACUGCAACAGUGGUGCAGUCUGCCCAGCUUGCACAGGAACACUCUGCAGAAAUCAAGUAAUGGAUUCUGCUUUAGAUAAAAUCAACAGAACAGUACACAAUAACAAGUAUCUAAAUGAUAAAUAAAGCAAAACGAAACCUGAAACUUGGCAACCGUAUCAGGAGUGCGAAGGAUCCCUUGUGGAGACUCUGCAGCAAGCUCAGCAGCUUCUUUAUACUUAGUUUGAGCAAACAACUCUUGAAAACGUUGGACAACCUGAGAAAUCCAAGAUCACAGAGUCAACAUUACUGUUAACAAAGGUGCAGCAUCACUAACUCUAAUCAUGCAAUAAGAAGACAAUCAGAAAAUAGGCCACUAAAGUAAAUCAAGAUACAAAAGCCAGCAUGUUUUCAAUCUCAGCAUAUCAGUGAGAUUGAAGAAACCCCACAUCCAUGAAGGAAGUUACCACAAAAGUAUCCCCCCCACAAGUUAAAAAAAUAUUAUUCCCUUGGAUAUUAUUAUCUAGCAACUAAAAAUUGAUAAUGCAAACAUUCACAAACAACAGACCAGAAAAUAUACAAAACAAUUCACUUACCAAGUUCUCUGCACCAGGGAGGUUUCCUCUUUUAGCAAGAUUGACAGCAAGCUCCAAGUUGUUCAACUGAAACAGCAAACAACCCAAAAGAAUCAUCAAGCUAGUAUGUCUAGUUUACCAGAAAACAGAAAAGAAAAGGUACAAAAACAUACUUGACCACUAACAAAUGGCACUAUUGUUGCUUCAUUUACAGUAGCCAGCAACACCUGACCUCGCCUGUUGAUGGCAUAAAACCCUCCAACUGCUGAAGCUUCGGAGGUUAAAAAUAUUGGAUCUGGACUGAUUCUAUUUCUGUAUACAGCAGUCGCUGUCUCCAGAUCAUAAACAAACAGCAGCCCAAGUUUGGUGAUAACAUAAAUCAAAGCAUAUUUGUGGGAUAUCUGCCAAUUAACAGAAAAUUGUUUCAUUAGUGGCACAAAAAUAAACAAUUUACAAAUAAUGUAAACCAAAUCUGAAUCUAAAGAUACCUGCAUGGCAACAGGAAAAUCAUCUUGAAAAUCUGGCGGGAAGAAUAGAUCUGCCUGUUUCUUAGAAAACGAUGACUUACCUGCAAAUAUAUAUUCUGUUAGAAAAUAGGAUAUAUAAUUGAGUGAAGGACACACAACAAAAUAUUAUAGUUAUUCAAGAAUGGUUCAUUCAUGAUUAAACACAAAACCCUUAAAAGUAAGUUGGAGUAGUCUUGGUUGUGAUUAGAGCUUGAAAUAAAUACAAAUUUAAGGUUUCUGAGCUAAAACCUAACAUAUACUGCAAAGUAGUGUCCCAACCAACUUAACUUGCCAGAACUCAAAGUACUUUCUGAUUGUACUUUGAAUUUUUUUAUCAUGUGAAAAGUUUAUGGAAAACCUUUUUAUUUCUUUUGCAUUCAUUUAAAAAAUACCUUCAGUAACCCCUCAUAUAUAAUGAGGAGAUAGGAAACUGACCUGGCUGGGCACCCAGCUCAAUUACAUGCAACUUUGAUGUAAUCUGGCCAGCAUUAAAACUCUUGGUGGCAAACGAAAUAAGAAUAGAUGGAUUCUCAUUUCCUGGGACCUGCUCAGCAGAACCAAGCAUAUAUGAUAAGCUACUUGUUAGAUCAGCAUCUAUAACAUGUAGUGAAUAAAGUAUAAGAAAUACCCUUACCUUAAAUUGUGCAAAUGAAGCAGCAUGUGCUUCAAGAGCUUGGCUACGCUGCUGAUCCACAGAGAAAAGUUGCAUGUUCCCCUUGACCAAUUGUGGCCUCUAAAUGAAACAAGACACGUAGGGUAAAAUCAGAAUUUUAUAGUGGCAGCAGAGGUGGUUUUCAAAAGAAAGAAUUUGUUCAUAGUAACGACUAUGCAAGGAACAACAUUUCCAACAAUAGAGAGACAGAAUGGGGAAAAGAGAGAACUAAAAAGGGGUGCAAGGGAUGCAAGCCCAAAUGACACCACAAGAGACAAGAUAAAUCAAUAAAUUAAUUCACAGAGUUCACUUCAGCGGUUUCAACCAUAGGAAACAUAGCAACCAAAGCAGCAUGAAGAACAUUUUAGGCUCAUUUAGCUUAGCAAAAUAUUUUGAAUAUGUUACUUCAAAUGUCACAGUUUUCAAAUUCCAAAACGUUAAUACAAAUGAAGCAACAACCUCCUCUUCAAUGCAAAAAUAAUCACCUUUAGAAAGCACUAAUAGGGCAAACAUACCUCAGGUGCACCAGGGGCAAUUCCAAUCAAAACCAACCACUUCUCUGAAGGGUCACAUUUAUAGUUUAUUAUCUGAUUGUUUGCUAAAUUAGCUGUUCUCUCAAACAUCUUAACCGGCUCAGAUUCACCUGCCAGGGGUAAGAUGCAAGGAGGAACAUAAAUCAAAGAAAUUUUAUACAAUAGAUAAGCGAACAUUCAAAAAAGAUGAAUUCUCAGAACUGAAGAA
rnacentral:lncRNA from 1 species